rnacentral:rRNA from 1 species
UGGGGAAUAUUGCACAAUGGGCGAAAGCCUGAUGCAGCGACGCCGCGUGAGGGAUGACGGCCUUCGGGUUGUAAACCUCUUUCAGCAGGGACGAAGCGCAAGUGACGGUACCUGCAGAAGAAGCACCGGCUAACUACGUGCCAGCAGGCGCGGUAAUACGUAGGGUGCAAGCGUUGUCCGGAAUUACUGGGCGUAAAGAGUUCGUAGGCGGUUUGUCGUGUCGUUUGUGAAAACCAGCAGCUCAACUGCUGGCUGGCAGGCGAUACGGGCAGACUUGAGUACUGCAGGGGAGACUGGAAUUCCUGGUGUAGCGGUGAAAUGCGCAGAUAUCAGGAGGAACACCGGUGGCGAAGGCGGGUCUCUGGGCAGUAACUGACGCUGAGGAACGAAAGCGUGGGUAGCGAACAGG